GACAGAGGAUGCAAGCGUUAUCCGGAAUGAUUGGGCGUAAAGCGUCUGUAGGUGGCUUUUUAAGUCUGCCGUCAAAUCCCAGGGCUUAACCCUGGGCAGGCGGUGGAAACUACCAAGCUGGAGUACGGUAGGGGCAGAGGGAAUUUCCGGUGGAGCGGUGAAAUGCGUAGAGAUCGGAAAGAACACCAACGGCGAAGGCACUCUGCUGGGCCGACACUGACACUGAGAGACGAAAGCUAGGGGAGCAAAUGGG
rnacentral:rRNA from 1 species